rnacentral:rRNA from 1 species
GCCUAACGGCUGAACUGGCAACUUAGAAGAAUGUAUGUAAUACCCUUGUGGUUAUAUAAAUUGAUUAUUCAAAUGAAAUUCUACCUGUAUAAUUGAUAAUGACGAUAUACAUAUUUAGCCUUGACUAAUUACGUGCCAGCAGUCGCGGUAAUACGUAAGAGGCUAGUGUUAAUCAUCUUAAUUAGGUUUAAAGGGUACUCAGGCGGUAAAAAUUUUCUUUAAAAAAAGUAGAAUUAUACUAGAGUUAUAGGUAAGAAGGUAGUACACGAGGUGUAGAGAUAAUAUUUUUUGAUACCUUGGAGACUGGUAAAUGCGAAGGCAACCUUUUAUGUAAUAACUGACGCUAAAGGACGAAGGCAUAGAGAACUAACAGGAUUAGAUACCCUAGUAGUCUUUGCAGACAAUGAUGAAUGUCAUAGGUAAAAUUCCAUAGAGUUUAUCCUAUAAAUGAAAAUGUAAGCAUUCCACCUCAAGAGUAAAGUGGCAACGCAGGAACUGAAAUCACUAGGCCGUUUCUAACCCCAGCAAUGAAGUAU